rnacentral:rRNA from 1 species
GAUGAACGCUGGCGGCGUGCCUAAUACAUGCAAGUCGAGCGAACAGACGAGGAGCUUGCUCCUCUGACGUUAGCGGCGGACGGGUGAGUAACACGUGGAUAACCUACCUAUAAGACUGGGAUAACUUCGGGAAACCGGAGCUAAUACCGGAUAAUAUAUUGAACCGCAUGGUUCAAUAGUGAAAGACGGUUUUGCUGUCACUUAUAGAUGGAUCCGCGCCGCAUUAGCUAGUUGGUAAGGUAACGGCCUACCAAGGCAACGAUGCGUAGACGACCUGAGAGGGUGAUCGGCCACACUGGAACGGAGACACGGUCCAGACUCCUACGGGAGGCAGCAGUAGGGAAUCGUCCGCAAUGGGCGAAAGCCUGACGGAGCAACGCCGCGUGAGUGAUGAAGGUCUUCGGAUCGUAAAACUCUGUUAUUAGGGAAGAACAAAUGUGUAAGUAACUAUGCACGUCUUGACGGUACCUAAUCAGAAAGCCACGGCUAACUACGUG